rnacentral:tRNA from 1 species
UCUAAUAUGGCAGAGUAGUGCAAUGGACUUAAACCCCAUAUAUAAAGAGUAUCUUUUUUUAGAA